rnacentral:lncRNA from 1 species
AAAAAGGAGCGAGGAGUGAAAACCAUUGUUGGAUACACUUGGUUUUAACCUCGACAGCGCCACCUUUCGGCAAAGCUGUUCCCGGUUGCUAGUUGAAGCCUCUUUCCCUUUGAAGACACAUCCUUUAUAAUUUUUAUUAGAGGUAAUUUAUUAUUUGCAU